UAGGAAAAGAAAUCAAUUGAGAUUCCCUCAGUAGCGGCGAGCGAACGGGGAUCAGCCCAUUAAGUUAUGUGUGUUUUAGUGGAACGCUCUGGGAAGUGCGAACGUAGAGGGUGAUAUUCCCGUACACGAAAGGGCACACAUAAUGAUGACGAGUAGGGCGAGGCACGUGAAACCUUGUCUGAAUAUGGGGGGACCAUCCUCCAAGGCUAAAUACUCCUGACUGACCGAUAGUGAACCAGUACCGUGAGGGAAAGGCGAAAAGAACCCCUGUGAGGGGAGUGAAAUAGAUCCUGAAACCGCAUGCAUACAAGCAGUGGGAGCACCUUCGUGGUGUGACUGCGUACCUUUUGUAUAAUGGGUCAGCGACUUAUAUUCAGUAGCAAGGUUAACCGUAUAGGGGAGCCGUAGAGAAAUCGAGUCUUAAUAGGGCGUUUAGUUGCUGGGUAUAGACCCGAAACCAGGCGAUCUAUCCAUGAGCAGGUUGAAGGUUGGGUAACACUAACUGGAGGACCGAACCCACUGUCGUUGAAAAGCCAGGGGAUGACUUGUGGAUAGG
rnacentral:rRNA from 1 species